ACAAUCCUGAUGUGUUCGUCGAUUAAUUGACGUUUUGACCGAACACCAUUAACAUCGGGAGCCUGGUGUUCUUAUGUGGAGUGCAAGCCGCAUUUACUUACGAAUUGCAUGCGGAAGCGUGAAGUAUAGGACAGGGCACCCACCUGCUAGGAGCGGGAUCAAAACUCAUCACAGCGACGGCAUAAUUGGGAUUGUC
rfam:Gracilibacillus kekensis strain CGMCC 1.10681 genome assembly, contig: Ga0079828_103